CGGUGAAGCAAUCUGCCCUGGAUUUCUGGAGGUGUGGUUGGAGGCGGAAUGUUUUUCUUAUAAAAGCGUAGCCCGCAGUCAGCAGGUGAUCAAGCGAGGCUCUCAACUCCAGCGCACGAGUGUCGAUCGAGAUUUUGACAAGCAGAAGACCAAUCAAGGCUCAUCUCAGUGACGAUGCCGUACGGUCCGAACAGGCCUUGCGCUCCUCCUCCGCGGGUGUGCUAUCCCCCACCCCCGGCUUGCGGCCCCUACGGAGGCUACAGGCCGGGCUACGGCUACGGCCACGGCUACGGCUACGGGCAUCACAAUGGCUACGGAUACGGCUACCGCGGAUACGGGCACGGCCACCACGGCUACGGCUACGGCCACAGAGGAUGUUCCAUACAAUAGCAUCUAUGACCUUGAAAUGUACUUGUCGACGUACGCAGCAUGUAUAUUCUCAGCUCCACAACAAUGGUUAUAACAAUCAGUAGUUGCAAUAAAACUGGAAUCUGAAAAGAAAAAAAA